UACGUAGGGGGCAAGCGUUGUCCGGAUUUAUUGGGCGUAAAGAGCGUGUAGGCGGCCUGACAGGUCUGCUGUGAAAACUCGAGGCUCAACCUCGAGAUGUCGGCGGAAACCGUCUGGCUAGAGUCCGGAAGAGGAGAGUGGAAUUCCUGGUGUAGCGGUGAAAUGCGCAGAUAUCAGGAAGAACACCAGUGGCGAAGGCGGCCGACUGGGCCGUUCCUGACGCUGAGACCCGAAAGCCAGGGGAGCGAACCGG
rnacentral:rRNA from 1 species